GGAGAGAUGGCCAAGUGGUUGAUAGCUCCCGGUUUGAAACCAGUAUAGUUUGAAAACAAAGAACUAUCAAGGGUUCGAAUCCCUCUCUCUCCU
rnacentral:tRNA from 1 species